CAUGCAGGCGGUUACAUAAGUCAGGUGUGAAAUCCCCGCGCUUAACGUGGGCAUUGCAUUUGAAACUAUGUAGCUAGAGUUCUGUAGAGGGGGGUAGAAUUCCAGGUGUAGCGGUGAAAUGCGUAGAGAUCUGGAGGAAUACCGAUGGCGAAGGCAGCCAUCUGGCCUAAUACUGACGCUGAGGUACGAAAGCAUGGGGAGCAAACAGGAUUAGAUACCCCAGUA
rnacentral:rRNA from 1 species